rnacentral:rRNA from 2 species
UAGGGAAUCUUCGGCAAUGGACGAAAGUCUGACCGAGCAACGCCGCGUGAGUGAAGAAGGUUUUCGGAUCGUAAAACUCUGUUGUUAGAGAAGAACAAGGACGUUAGUAACUGAACGUCCCCUGACGGUAUCUAACCAGAAAGCCACGGCUAACUACGUGCCAGCAGCCGCGGUAAUACGUAGGUGGCAAGCGUUGUCCGGAUUUAUUGGGCGUAAGCGAGCGCAGGCGGUUUCUUAAGUCUGAUGUGAAAGCCCCCGGCUCAACCGGGGAGGGUCAUUGGAAACUGGGAGACUUGAGUGCAGAAGAGGAGAGUGGAAUUCCAUGUGUAGCGGUGAAAUGCGUAGAUAUAUGGAGGAACACCAGUGGCGAAGGCGGCUCUCUGGUCUGUAACUGACGCUGAGGCUCGAAAGCGUGGGGAGCAAACAGG